CACAAAGUUAGGACACCCAAGGACACAACAUCAUUACUACAUUCUUGAGCUUCUCUUUUGUAAUUAAACUACAUUCUCCUGUUCUACGAUGGAACCUGCGAGGAAGACCAUUGUGGGUGCUUUCCUUCUUAUCUUGCUUAUGGCCUCUUCUAGCGAGGUUUCAUGUACUGAGAAUAAUUGUUACAAGGAGAUUUGGGAAAGUUGCAUAGGUAGGGAGAAUGAUGAUUGCCGACAUGCAUGCAUCAAGGAGGGAUGGGAUGACGGCCAAUGCCGCAACCGCGAGAAAGACAAAAAUAUUCUAGGAUUUCUAACGACUGCCAAAUGCGAGUGCUACCCCCCAACAUGCGAUCAUUAAAAGAUGGCAUAAUCGUUUACAGUGCAUUGAUUGUAACAUGCGACUCUCCCUCCAAGUUACUACUAUUUCGUAGAUGAUUGGGCAGCAACAUGCUCUAGUACCAAUUUGGGUGAUUGUCUAAAACUUUGUAUUCAAGAUUGGGAUGUUAUGGGAAAUACAUGGAUAAUUUUUCACA